AGGUUGUCGUGUGAUAUAAUUAUCUCAAAGGCUCAUUUGUUAAGUUGUUAGGAGUCCUAGCUUAGAUAAGACUAUUCAUGCUUAUCUUUGUUUCGGCGUGGCUUUGCUUGUUUAGCAUAGCUACGAGUCUUUGUCAUUAUGAGCUAUUUUCAUGAACAAUAGUAUGAGUUUGGUCAUUUGAGUAAUACUUUAAAUUUCGGGACGAAACUUAUUUUAAGGGGGAUUGAUUGUAACAACCCGUAUUUUUAUACAUGUUAAGUAAUGAGUUAUAUUAUUUGAGUUUAUAAUAAAAAUAUUUUAAAAUGUUCUUUUAUCAAAUAUAUUUUAUUUUCACUUAUUAACCUUACCUUAGAAGGUUCAAACGCUAAUCCCUAAAUUUCCUAGGGUAACAACCCAUUUACACAUUAUGUCACUAUUAUAAAGAAAGGAGGAAGAGAAAAAAAAAAAAAACAAAAGAAAAGAAAAAGAGGAAAAAGGGUCGGAUUUCCCGUAGCCCCUCCCUUUCAUUCAUUCUUUCUUCCAUUUUAUUUCCUUCCUUCUUCUAUUGUAUUCUUUUUCUUCAACAGACCAUUAUAUCUUCUUCUCUAUUCACCUUUUCUUAUUUUUUUGAUUCAACACCCUAAAUUGAUAAACUUUGUUCAACUUUUAUCAGACUUAAACCUUCCUUCAUCUAUCUUUCAUGAUAUUUUAUAUUGUGGGUGUUUCAAAGGUUGAAAAUUUUGGGUUUUAUAUUGCACGUUUUGGGGGCGGAAUUCGGAUAGAAAGGCGAUUUUUUGGGUCUUUCUCUUGGGUAAUUUCAUCUCUUUAUUCAAUAUUAAAUCUUGCUCAGCCUUUGGCUGAUAUUACAGUGUUUAAUGUGCAAGGACUUGAAGAUAGUAAACUCCUGUUGCGUUAAUAGAGUGCGUUGGAUCUCCUUCAAUUUAUUAGGACUUUAAAAAUACUUCCGUUGUUAUUUAUUUGACUAUAAGAUUUAUAUUCAGGUUUGUAAUAAUUAAUUUACAUUCUAUUUAGUUGGUAUGUAAUAAUUAUUUAAAACUUAUUGUUCUGUUUUAACUAGAACUAUUAGCCUAGCGGUUAUUAUUACUAAUUAUCGCGGCGUAGCACCUUUGAAUUUUCGAGUUUA